rnacentral:rRNA from 1 species
AUGUGGACCUGUCUUCGUCAGCGCUAUGAGCCCUCUGGUGAUGCCUUAUACCUUUCUGUGGUUCGUCAGGAGCAUGCUCUUCAGCAGGGUGACUCUACUGUUGAUGACUUUUAUGCACAGAGUUCUGCUAUCUGGCGCCAGCUUGAUUCUCUCCGCAGUGCUGGUUGUCGUACUUGCCCCUGCUGCCAGGCUGUCCAGGCCAAUUUGGAGUUUCAUCGCGUCUACGAGUUCCUGUCUCGGCUCCGUAAGGAGUUUGAGCCCCGGCGUGCUCAGUUGUUUGCUCGUGGCCGUAUUUCUCUCAUGGAGGCGCUUUCAGAGAUUCGUGCUGAGGAGACUCGCUUACGUGGUGCUGAUUUGCUGGAGGUUCCCUCUGUGCUCGCUACUCGGGCUUCUUCCACUCCACCUGCUGCACCGCCCCAUUCUCGCUCGAGUGCUCCGCCGCUCUUGCCCACUCCUUCUGGAGGCUCAGGUCGUCCCCGUCCACAUUGUGACUACUGCAACAAUGAUGGUCAUAUUGAGUCCCAGUGCUACACAAAGCGGAAACACCUGCGCAAGGCGCGAUCCUCCUCCUCAGGGACUUCGUCAUCUCCCUCGACAGCUUCAGCCAUUGCUUUGACUGAGCAGGAUAUUCUGAGACUUAAGCGUCUGCUCGCGGCUUCAGGUUCUUCCUCGACGGGUACUGCUGGUUCUGUGACCGAUGCUUCCCGCACUGAGCACCCGCCCUCUACACAGUCAGGUACAUCCCCAUGGGUUCUGGACUCUUGA